CGGGUAUAAAAAUAUCAAAGACCUCUGUGUAAUGAGCGCAUCUAACAUACUGUUAGCAAAUAAUAAAAACGGUCGACAGAAUCACAAACCGGAACGGAACGUGGAAUUGAAAAUAAGGUCGAAGAUAGACAGAAAGGUUAGGUUAGACAGGAAACAAAGAAAUUUAUAAGAUAAUAAUGGUUGACGCAAAGCAAAACAAUUAACAGAAUGUAAAAAGA